GACGAACGCUGGCGGCGUGCCUAAUACAUGCAAGUAGAACGCUGAAGGAGGAGCUUGCUCUUCUGAAUGAGUUGCGAACGGGUGAGUAACGCGUAGGUAACCUGCCUGGUAGCGGGGGAUAACUAUUGGAAACGAUAGCUAAUACCGCAUAAGAGUAGAUGUUGCAUGACAUUUGCUUAAAAGGUGCAAUUGCACCACUACCAGAUGGACCUGCGUUGUAUUAGCUAGUUGGUGGGGUAACGGCUCACCAAGGCGACGAUACAUAGCCGACCUGAGAGGGUGAUCGGCCACACUGGGACUGGGACACGGCCCAGACUCCUACGGGAGGCAGCAGUAGGGAAUCUUCGGCAAUGGACGGAAGUCUGACCGAGCAACGCCGCGUGAGUGAAGAAGGUUUUCGGAUCGUAAAGCUCUGUUGUAAGAGAAGAACGAGUGUGAGAGUGGAAAGUUCACACUGUGACGGUAUCUUACCAGAAAGG
rnacentral:rRNA from 1 species